GUUUUAUGUUUUAUUUGUCAGAACAUCACUGAUGUCAGUGCUCGGUGGACGGUAGUUCUACGUGGUCUUGCUAUCCUUCUUGCAGAAGACACUACAGACUUCCUGAAAACAAACAUGGACUGUGAUGGUGACCCACCUCAACUAUCAAUAGGAAUUCUCAGUCUGGUGCCGGAGGACAGACACAUUUCUCCACAUGGUUUACAGCAAUUAUUUGGUAGGGUGUCACAGCCAUGGAUGGACUUGAGAAAGUAUCACAUGCCAUGUGUUUAGUUUUUGGACUGAUCGUUGUUUUAAAUAUGGAGUACCUCUUCACAGCUUAUUUUGAGUUGAUUCACAGGGUUUUUCUUUCCCUGGGGCACAAAUCACUAAAGUCAAAACUGCCAUCACUACAAAACAUACUAAUGUGAAGUAGUGUGUUUUGUGUGAAACAAGUCCGUGUUACUGUAGAUCUGUUGCAUUUUGGGUUUUUUAUUUUUCGUCAACCUGGAUACAAGUUCCAGAAAAACUCAACUUUAAUUGCUGCAAAACUUUGUUGUUUUAGUUAAGCUGUAUUUUGCGUGUUUCUGAUGGCAGAAACAAGAUUGUUACUGUAGGUCUGUUGAUGCAAUUUGUGAUUUUUUUAUCAGUCACAUGCCAACCUGGAUACAAAACCAAAACUGCAGUCACUAAAAAAAAACUAGUUUUGAAUUUGUUUGUCAAGGUGUGUUCAUUGUGUUUGUAAUAACAGAAACAAGACUGUCUUAGGUCUAUUGUUGCAUUUUGGGUAUCCAGAUUGAUGGGUGACUGAACACAAACCCCUUUCUUGUGUGUGUGUGUGUGUGUGUGUGUGUGUGUGUGUGUGUGUGUGUGUGUGUGUGUGUGUGUGUGUGUGUGUGUGUGUGUGUGUG